GCCCCUUGGGUAGCUCAGUUGGUUAGAGCUUGGUGCUGAUAACAUCAAGGUUGCAGGUUCAAUCCCUGUACGAGGCA
rnacentral:tRNA from 1 species